UACAGAGGGUGCGAGCGUUAAUCGGAUUUACUGGGCGUAAAGGGCGCGUAGGUGGUUGUGUGAGUGUGAUGUGAAAGCCCCGGGCUUAACCUGGGAAGCGCAUCGCAAACGACAUAACUGGAGUAGAUGAGAGGGUGGUGGAAUUUCCGGUGUAGCGGUGAAAUGCGUAGAUAUCGGAAGGAACGUCAAUGGCGAAGGCAGCCACCUGGCAUCAUACUGACACUGAGGCGCGAAAGCGUGGGUAGCGAACAGG
rnacentral:rRNA from 1 species